UCUCCAGGUGCGUAAGGCCGAGCGCCAAGCAUUCAUCAACUGCACGGCCGAGUAUGCCCGGGACAUGCACGCCACCGAGUACGUCGAACGGCUCUUCGACGACGAGUCCUACCGAAAGGAGUUGUACGACUGCUAUUACAAACAACGAAAGGCUACAAUGCUGGAGAGAGGCCUGGCGCCGCAGUUGUCUAACCGAGCGUACAGGAAAUGUCUCGCUGACGCCAUGAAAACCAGCGCCAAGAAAGUCUGAGAGAAUAUGGGGCGCGGGCAGAAAAAUGAAGGGGGGGGGGGGGGGAAGGGGAUCUUUAUAAUGACUGUUCCACUCGGAGGGGUUUUCUUUCGGAGCCAUGAUGUGACGUGGGCGACUGACAGCUUGACUUCCAAGGCAGAAGAGACCGCGACCCCUUACGUGGAAAGCAACACCACGUCUAGACUCGUCACCCGCACGCUUUCACAUGGCAACUUUUCUAUAAAAGCGAAUAUUUUUCACAGUUUUAUAGGUAACGGCAGUUUUCUUGACAUUCGUGUGGUGCCGCGCUGAGAUUAUAUAACUUGUAGGCUUAGCUGUGAUCAGCCCUAUUAAGUGCAGCAGCGACUAACAGACCGCUGACAUUCGCAACGUAUAAGAGCCGCAUCACGAAUACCAACUGCUCUCUUAGCUUAGUCUGGUCUUCAUUAUAUUCGGCACGUUUAAAAUACCGAGAACUUCCACUCAUAGUAAGGGAAAAUAAUGAGGGUGCGGCUGCAGUUUAAGCGACAGGAAUGUUUCACGCUAAACGCUCAACGACCCUCAUUUGGUCACACGGCCCUAAAUCGGAAGUUCACCUUCGGUUCUUAAAACACAUCCUGUUAAGGACAUGCGCCAACACACUAAAUUUAAUAAACGCUAUGAGAAACAAAAAGCUAGGUUUUUUCUCAUGAUAUAAGCGCACGCAACCAUAACAUGACCUUGUGCACUUGCAGACCGAUUACACGUGCACGCGCAGGCAAAGUAGCUUUCUAUAGAUAUGGUUAGCGCACCGCCAGGGAGUUCGACGUGAAAUGGGAGCACUUACUAUGCGCCCUAUCAACGGCAUUUGCAAAUAUGAAGGGUAAUUGAUGCAUGAAGCAACAUUCGCUUCUCAUUUGCAUUAGCACGCAUUAUGGGUACGCUUUCGUGUAGCGAGUUGUAUGCAGUCAUCAUGCAAAAGUGAACCCGUUGAAACGUCGCGUGAGUGGUGAGUGCUACCUACGGUAGAAGCACGGAGUUGACACCAAAAACGAAACGUAAUAAACUGCACUAAAGGU